GUUCAGAUUUGAUUUUCAACAUUGCAAUGAGUGGCGAACGGGUGAGUAACACGUGGGAAACCUACCUCUUAGCAGGGGAUAACAUUUGGAAACAAAUGCUAAUACCGUAUAAUAAUUAAAACCGCAUGGUUUUAGUUUAAAAAGAUGGUCUUGCUAUCACUAGGAGAUGGUCCCGCGGUGUAUUAGUUAGUUGGUGAGGUAAUGGCUCACCAAGACAAUGAUACAUAGCCGAGUUGAGAGACUGACCGGCCACAAUGGGACUGAGACACGGCCCAUACUCCUACGGGGAGGCGGCAGUAGGGAAUCUUCCACAAUGGACGAAAGUCUGAUGGAGCAACGCCGCGUGUGUGAUGAAGGGUUUCGGCUCGUAAAACACUGUUGUAAGAGAAGAAUGACAUUGAGAGUAACUGUUCAAUGUGUGACGGUAUCUUACCAGAAAGGAACGGCUAAAUACGUA
rnacentral:rRNA from 1 species